rnacentral:rRNA from 1 species
GACGAACGCUGGCGGCGUGCUUAACACAUGCAAGUCGAGCGGAAAGGCCCCUUUGGGGGUACUCGAGCGGCGAACGGGUGAGUAACACGUGAGUAAUCUGCCCUUCACUUUGGGAUAACCCCCGGAAACGGGUGCUAAUACCGGAUAUGACCAACUUGGGCAUCUGGGUUGGUGGAAACUUUUUGGGUGGGGGAUGUGCUCGCGGCCUAUCAGCUUGUUGGUGGGGUAAUGGCCUACCAAGGCUUUGACGGGUAGCCGGCCUGAGAGGGUGACCGGCCACACUGGGACUGAGACACGGCCCAGACUCCUACGGGAGGCAGCAGUGGGGAAUAUUGGACAAUGGGCGGAAGCCUGAUCCAGCAACGCCGCGUGAGGGAUGACGGCCUUCGGGUUGUAAACCUCUUUCAGCACCGACGAAGCGGAAGUGACGGUAGGUGCAGAAGAAGGACCGGCCAACUACGUGCCAGCAGCCGCAGUAAUAC